rnacentral:rRNA from 1 species
AUGGAGGUGAAGGUGCUGAGCUCCAAGAUCGUCAAGCCGCAGUACGCCGAGGGCACGGCGCGGCCGGACACCACGGAGCACGUGCCGUCCUCGGUGUUCGACAAGGUCACCUACCACAUCCAGAUGGCCAUCAUCUACGCCUUCCAAGCGCCAGCGCCCUCCACCGAGGACAUAGAGCGCGGCCUCGCCCAAGUGCUGGCCGUGUACCGCCUCUUCGCCGGCCAGGUCCGAGCUGGCCCGGACGGCGCGCCUGGGGUGCUGCUCAACGACCACGGCGCGCGGCUCGUCGAGGCGCGCGUGGACGGGGCCACACUGGUCGAGUUCGCGCCUCCGAAGCCGUCGCCUGUCGUGUUGCAGCUGCACACGGACCUGGAGGGCGACGUGGAGGAGGUGGUGCAGGUGCAGCUCACGCGGUUCGCGUGCGGCUCGCUGGCCGUCGGUUUCACGGCCAACCAUGCCGUUGCUGACGGCCACGCCACCAGCGAUUUCCUCGUCGCGUGGGGCCGCGCCGCGCGAGGGCUGGACAUCUCCGCCCCGUCGCCGCCGCCCCACAACCACCUUGACCUCUUCCGGCCGCGCGACCCGCCCGUCGUCGAUUUUGAGCACCGGGGCGUCGAAUACUACCGCCCGACGACCAGCAACCCCAAGCAGGUCGAGAGCGGGCACCACGGCGCCGACAACGUGAUCAUCCACAAGGCGCACUUCACCAAGGACUUCAUCGCCGGGCUUCGCGCCAAGGCGUCUGAGGGGCGCGGCAGGCCGUUUAGCCGGUUCGAGACCACGCUCGCGCACCUGUGGCGCACCAUGACGCGCGCGCGUGGGCUCAGCCCCGGCGAGACCUCCACCAUCCGCAUCUCCGUGGACGGGCGGCGCCGCCUUUCCGCCCCGCCGGGCUACUUCGGCAACCUGGUCCUGUGGGCGUUCCCGCGGUCCACGGUGGGGGACCUCCUGAGCCGGCCGCUGAAGCACGCAGCACAAACGAUCCACGACGCCGUGGCCCGCCUCGACGGCGCCUACUUCCAGUCGCUGGUGGACUUCGCCAGCUCCGGCGCCGUGGAGCGGGAGGGGCUGGAGAAGACGGCGGUGCUGAAGGACGUGCUGUGCCCGGACCUGGAGGUGGACAGCUGGCUGACGUUCCCGUUCUACGAGCUGGACUUCGGCGCCGGCAGCCCGAGCUACUUCAUGCCGUCCUACUUCCCCACGGAGGGGAUGCUGUUCUUGGUGCCAUCCUACCUCGGCGACGGCAGCGUGGACGCCUUCGUCCCCGUCUUCCAGCACAACCUCGACGCCUUCAAGCAGUGCUGCUACUCCAUGGACUAA